rnacentral:rRNA from 1 species
UACGUAGGGUCCGAGCGUUGUCCGGAGUUACUGGGCGUAAAGCGCGCGCAGGCGGCGGUGCUGGCCCGGCGUGAAAGCCCCCGGCUCAACUGGGGAGGGUCAUUCGAUACUGAUCGACUCGAAGGCAGGAGAGGGUAGUGGAAUUCCCGGUGUAGUGGUGAAAUGCGUAGAUAUCGGGAGGAACACCAGUGGCGAAGGCGACUACCUGGCCUGUUCUUGACGCUGAGGCGCGAAAGCGUGGGGAGCGAACAGG